rnacentral:rRNA from 1 species
AUUGAACGCUGGCGGCAGGCCUAACACAUGCAAGUCGAACGAGUGGCGGACGGGGGAGCAACGUCCGGGAAACUGGCUGAGGGAGGGGGAUAACCACCGGAAACGGUAGCUAAUACCGCAUACCAUCAGAUGUGCCCAGAUGGUAUUAGCUAGUGGGUGGGGUAACGGCUCACCACGGCGACGACCCCUAGCUGGUCUGAGAGGAUGACCAGCCACACUGGAACUGAGACAGGGUCCAGACUCCUACGAGAGGCAGCAGUAGGGAAUAUUGCACAAUGAGCGCAAGCCUGAUACAGCCAUGCCGCGUGUAUGAAGAAGGCCUUCGGGUCGUAAAGUACUUUCAGCGGGGAGGCGUUACCGGCAGAAGAAGCACCGGCUAACUCCGUGCCAGCAGCCGCGGUAAUUC